rnacentral:rRNA from 1 species
UACGUAGGGUGUGAGCGUUGUCUGGAAUUACUGGGCGUAAAGGGCGCGCAGGCUGUAGAUCAAGUCAGCUGUGAAAUGUCUGGGCUUAACCCGGGCAUGCGGUUGAAACUGAUGUACUGGAGUGCUGUAGAGGCAAGUGGAAUUCCCAGUGUAGCGGUGAAAUGCGUAGAUAUUGGGAAGAACACCGGUGGCGAAGGCGACUUGCUGGGCAGCAACUGACGCUGAGGCGCGAAAGCCAGGGGAGCAAACGGGAUUA